rnacentral:rRNA from 1 species
UACGUAGGUGGCAAGCGUUGUCCGGAUUUAUUGGGUUUAAAGGGUGCGUAGGCGGUUCUGUAAGUCAGGGGUGAAAUACGGCAGCUCAACUGUCGAGGUGCCAUUGAUACUGCGGAACUUGAGUACUGAUGAGGUAGGCGGAAUUGACGGUGUAGCGGUGAAAUGCUUAGAUAUCGUCAAGAACACCGAUAGCGAAGGCAGCUUACCAAGCAGUAACUGACGCUGAGGCACGAAAGUGCGGGGAUCAAACAGG